AUUGAACGCUGGCGGCAGGCUUAACACAUGCAAGUCGAGCGAGCGGCGGACGGGUGAGUAAUGUAUGGGUAACUGCCUGAUGGAGGGGGCUAACUACUGUAAACGGUAGCUAAUACCGCAUACCAUCAGAUGUGCCCAGAUGGGAUUAGCUAGUUUGUGGGGUAAGGGCUCACCUAGGAGACGAUCCCUAGCUGGUCUGAGAGGAUGACCAGCCACACUGGAACUGAGACACGGUCCAGACUCCUACGGGAGGCAGCAGUGGGGAAUAUUGUACAAUGGGCGCAAGCCUGAUGCAGCAAUGCCGAGUGUGUGAAGAGGGCCUUCGGGUUGUAAAGCACUUUCAGCGAGGAGGCGUUACUCGAAGAAGAAGCACCGGCUAACUCCGUGCCAGCAGCCGCGGUAAUAC
rnacentral:rRNA from 1 species